rnacentral:rRNA from 1 species
GAAUAUUGCACAAUGGGCGCAAGCCUGAUGCAGCGACGCCGCGUGGGUGAAGAAGGAUUUCGGUCUGUAAAGCCCUUUUCUGUGUGACGAGAGUGGACGGUAGCACAGGAAUAAGUCUCGGCUAACUACGUGCCAGCAGCCGCGGUAAAACGUAGGAGGCACGCGUUAUCCGGAGUUACUGGGCGUAAAGCGCGUGCAGGUGGAUGGAUCAGGUGGUGAUGAAAGCGCCUGGCUAAACUGGGAGAGGUUGACCAAUACUGUCGAUCUAGAGUGGAGCAGAGGUAAACGGAAUUCCGCGUGUAGUGGUGAAAUGCGUAGAGAUGCGGAAGAACACCAGUGGCGAAGGCGGUUUACUGGGCUCCAACUGACACUCAGACGCGAAAGCAUGGGUAGCGAACGGG